GUCGGUAAAACUCGUGCCAGCCACCGCGGUUAUACGAGAGGCCCAAGUUGACAGACACCGGCGUAAAGCGUGGUUAAGGUACACGAAAACUAAAGCCGAACACCUUCAGGGCAGUUAUACGCAUCCGAAGGCACGAAGCCCCACCACGAAAGUGGCUUUAUGAACCCUGACCCCACGAAAGCUAUGACACAAACUGGGAUUAGAUACCCCACUAUG
rnacentral:rRNA from 1 species